AGAUUGAAGAGUUAAUACCUAGGUGUUUGAUCGUAAAAAAAAUGGUACAGUUAAGGCAAGGAUUGUUGGCAGAAAACAAUAUGGAAGAGUUAAGGCAAAGAUUUUCGACAGAAAACAAGGUG